CAAAGGAAGUGGUGAGGACCACUCGGGAAACUGCUUAAGCGCCAGCAUGCUAUAAUAAUGGACUCUCCAAAGCGAAUAAUCGAUGUUCGUUGCUGCAGGCUACGCAGCUAACCUUGAGGGUGCGAUGUACACUAGCCCCUCUCUGAAGCAGUGCCUUCUUGGUGGUUCCGGAGAGAUGAAAGGUUUUGCGACCAUGGGAAUGUGGUUUAGUUGUUUGAGGAGAGAGUAGUCCUGGCUUUUACUUUUGUUGUAGAAGACUGCCUUAUAACCCCACACUACCCGGACCUUCCUGUUCGGGUGUCUGUUGAGCAGAUUUUCCCCCCAUGGUUUAGAAGGAAAGGAAAUUUCCUUGACUUCCUUGGGCAUAGAGUAUCUUCGUACCUGCCACACGAUAUACACACAUAUAAAAUGGUCAUUGGCAGACAGUGGCGUAGCCAGAAAUUCGCUCUGGGAGGGGCUUUUGAUGUUCAAUAAUACCUUUGUUUUAUUUGUCACUCACUUUUCGUAAAUAUAAACACUCAAUUUGUGCCGUAGGUUAAAAAUUGCGGCGAAGUCAAUUUUUUUUUUUCAUCACAAAGCAUUUUAUGAUCCACAAAUAUUACAGCAACUGACAGCUCUUUGACAUUGACAGGUGUCACGUAACUGUCAGUUGCUGCAGAAUGCAACCAAUGUGCAUUCGAAAAACUUCGCAUUGCAACAAAAGUGCAUACCAUAAACAAAGCAUCGCUGUUGACAUUUCAGUUUGACGGAUAGCGGUGCGAUAACUGCAAAAUUUUUGCACUUAGCGGACUUGCAGUUAAAAAGCAUUGCAGUUAAAGCGUUUGCACCGAGCAAACGACUACUGUAAUUCUAAGGCUACGAGACUUGGACCAAGCAAACAUAAUUAUUGAAAUGAUAUUCUAAAUCACUGCGAAUUAGUGCUAAAUCUUCAAAUAUGAUUUGUUUAAUUUUUCAUCGAUAUUAUGUUUUGAACCAAGGCUUUUCUGAAAGGUUAGACCAUAAACUGAAACUCUGCGAAGGAAAAUUUUAGAUUAAUUCAAGUUUGAUAAUAUGUCUAUUCUUGGUAUGCGUGACGACUCAAAUAAUGCAAAAAUUGUCGAGAAUUAUUGACAAUAAAAAUAUUGUCAAUCCUGCUGUUUACCUUACUUAUUAUUUAUAAAAGGAGAUUGUGAGCGCAAAAAGCAACAGUUUCGAUUCAACCACUGACCUGUACACACCGAAUAUAAAUAUAAAGUCUAGUUUAGUAGUUUGAGUGAACAAACAGCGUCGUUUGCUUCGUAAGCAAGAGAGGAACUGCACUCCGGUUAGGAGAUACGUCUGUCCCGAGAGCAAAUACAACAUUUAUUAAAGCUGCUUGGAGGAGAAGCUGCUAUUGAUGUGAGGUUUAAGUUCGUCGGUGGUUUAAGCUCUGCGACACUUCCCGCUGGAAGCCAGAGCCUAUCUCAGGGCUCGCUCUAAUUUCCCUCCAUUCACAUUAAGCUACCGUUCCUGUGAUAAGACGUACGAUCAUCCGAUCGAUCUCUGUUCCUCCGACGAAACAGUACCUGAAAUCGCACCUGGGUCACCAUCUACCGAACUAUAAGACACAAAAUUCAGCACGUGCUAUGAACAUUACCAACAAACAUUUUGGCUAUGCAAGAGUGGAACAACCCACUCUUAAGCAAACUUUAGCUUAAGAAACUGUUAUUUAGCUAGUUAUGUUACUUAGGAUGACAUUUCAUCGCAUUCUCCUUUUCACCCUCUCAUAUCUUGAGUUAAGUUUACAUGAUCUUUGAAAAAUUAUAAAUUUCAUUGUUAACUGGAACGCUCCCCAGAAAAAAGUGCGAUGAAAACACCAGAUCUAACCGACACAUUUCCGCACUUUUAUUCACAAUUCCGUAUACUUAUGAGCGCGCUUAAGAUCUGCGCAAUGCGCAAUAAAAAGGGAAACAUUAUCACGUUUGACUGAAACUAAUAGGAAUAUAAUGGGUUUGUGAAGUUUAUUUUUAAACUACCUACGCGAGGCUAUUCUUAAUUUUUCUUACGCAUACAUUUCUCUCUUUUGUAUUUUUCAAAUCACGAGCCAACGGUGAACGUGUAAAACAUUUCAUGAUUGUUAUCUUUCAUAAUGGAAUAUUAUUUUUUCUUCGCUGUUAGUAAAUAACAAUAAAAAUGAACUACUGUAGAUGUAACCCUCAGUGCAAACCCUUUAACUGCAAUGCUUUUUAACUAAAAGUGCAGUUAUCGUACCGCUAUCCGUCGAAAUAAAACGUCAACAGGAAUGCAAUGCUUUUCGAAUGCACAUUGGGUGCAUUCUGAAACAACUGGCAGUUCUUUGACAUCUGUCAGUUAUUGCAGUUAUCGAAUUGCAUUCAAUAAGUGAAACGUAAACAUGCUGCAGUUAUCUAACGUCUAAUGUACUUACAAGUUUACAGCCACCAUUUGAUAACCUUUCAAUUCGGUAUCGUCUGUUGUCAUCGCUAAAUCUAAUUUACUAAAAUAGAAAAAAAUAAGUUAAUAACAUCUUAACAUGUUUGUCUUUCGCUUUGUUUAGACAAGCGCUAAAUAUGAACUCUGUCUUUGCUCCAGUAGGUAGUGGUGGGAAGUGCACAAAAUGGUCAAUAAGUGCGAAUCAAUGAGUUUACUUUUAUGAAGAUCAUCCUGUACGUUGUUUGCACCGAGCUGUGUGAUGUGGUACUGGAAAUCAUCCUGCCCGGUUUCAUCACUAUACCGUCCAGCAUCCAUUAUAGACUUUAGCUUUAUCGCUAUUUCAGCAUGGAAGGAGAAAUAACUGAUUGAUAGUCACACAAGAUUACAGAGGAUCCAUACCUGCCCUGUUCGAGAGAUAAAUGCUGCCACGAAAUCAGACACGUUAUUCUUACCUGUUCCUGAAAUGCAAACAACAGUACCGAUUUUUGAUGACGAUGGAAAUAAUAGAGGUAAUAAAAUGUGGAGAACGAAUAUCGCUGGUAUGAAUCUGCCCCACUAUUCCGAAAGCCAUUAUCCCAAAUAGGACGU